rnacentral:rRNA from 1 species
AUUGAACGCUGGCGGCAGGCCUAACACAUGCAAGUCGGGCGAGAGGCGGACGGGUGAGUAAUGUAUGGGGAUCUGGCUGAUGGCGGGGGAUAACUACUGGAAACGGUAGCUAAUACCGCAUUCCCUACGCUGAACCCAUAGCGGAUUAGCGAGUAGGUAAGGUAACGGCUUACCUAGGCGACGAUCCAUAGCUGGUCUGAGAGGAUGAUCAGCCAAACUGGGACUGAGACACGGCCCAGACUCCUACGGGAGGCAGCAGUGGGGAAUAUUGCACAAUGGGCGCAAGCCUGAUGCAGCCAUGCCGCGGGUAUGAAGAAGGCCUUCGGGUUGUAAAGUACUUUCAGUCGGGAGGCGUUACCGACAGAAGAAGCACCGGCUAACUCCGUGCCAGCAGCCGCGGUAAUAC